GCUGCUCUUGGCACGUUCGCCCGAUGCCGGCAGGCACAGAAACGCGCGCGCUCCUUGGGCUGCGGCCUCAGUUAGCAAACGCCGCUGCUUGAGGCCGUUUCCGUGCCUGCGCCACAGCCUGUAAUCGUAUGAGCGCCGACUCUGCUUAUCUGUUUCUACUUUAUUCGCAAACCGGUGCUUUUGCGGAGGAAAAGAGAAUCCCAGCGGGGAGGGGCUUCCUAAGAGCGGGGUGGUCUUUCAGGUAUUGCUAGGGGCAAGGAGCAACAACGGGCACCCGUUCCAGGUGUGUGCCCACGUGUCCCAGCGGCCUGGCAGGCCUGGCCUGGGGGGAUGAAGUAGGAGCAGCGCCGGCGUCGGGCGUGUUCUCUUUUGUUUGGGCCGCCGCUUCCACGAUGCCUGGGACCCCCUGCCAGACUGGGGGGGGGGCGCUACUUCCCAGGGUCUCCCGAGCCGGCAGGGGCGCACCCUGCGGGGGGGUUGUGUCCAAAUUCUCUCGGAUGUCGUCUUGACCGCGAUGCUUCUUCUUAGGCGUUCCAGCCACGGACACCAUCGGGAAGAUCGCGGGGCCCCGGGCAAACCUUGCAGCCGCAGGGCGCUCCUUCCGGGUCCCAGGCACGCGUCGUUGCGUGGCCACCGCCGCUAAGCCCCUUCGGAGGAACGCGGAGAAGCAGACGGAGACGCAAGCGGCGUCGGCACCAGAUUGUAAGGAGGCAGCGGGGCCUGGGGGUCAGAACUGGGAAAGCCGAGCUGCCCUCGGUAGCGGCGGAAGCCACUUCGUAGGCACGGCCGUUCCCGGGCACUAGUGGCUGAACCGGCAGCUGUGGGAGUUUUUCUCCACCGGCGGCNGUGGUGGCCGAGAAAGGGGCUUGGUGGCCUACCCAGCCGGGGAAGAAGCCUCUGCCGCCCGGUCCAUCGCCUGGGCAACCCUUGGGCUGCAGGGUCCAGCUUUGUUACUUCAGGCAGGAGGAGGUAGAAGAUGGUUUCACGGGGAAGAGGGAUAGACGCCAGAAUGGGGGAAGAUACAGAAGUUGGGGGGAAAUGAGAGCAUCUGCUGGUGCUGCUUGGGAAUGUCCGCNCAGUCCCGAAUAACUCAUCUCCCUGUCUGUGGAUGAUGAAGCCGCCUGGAGCAGCUGGAAGAUACAGGCCCUGUGAGCACAGGCUGUUCAGCCAGAGGGGCCGCUGACCCCAUCCAGGGCCCCCCGGUGUCCCUUUCUGCCCCGCUCUGCAGGGGAGUGCUGGGCUUUGGGUUCCGCAGAAACCUAACAG
rnacentral:lncRNA from 1 species